rnacentral:rRNA from 1 species
UGGGGAAUAUUGCGCAAUGGGGGAAACCCUGACGCAGCAACGCCGCGUGAAUGAUGAAGGCCUUCGGGUUGUAAAGUUCUGUCUUCUGGGACGAUAAUGACGGUACCAGAGGAGGAAGCCACGGCUCACUACGUGCCAGCAGCCGCGGUAAUACGUAGGUUGCAAGCGUUGUCCGGAUUUACUGGGUGUAAAGGGCGUGUAGGCGGAGAUGCAAGUUGGGAGUGAAAUCCCGGGGCUCAACCCCGGAACUGCUUUCAAAACUGUAUCCCUUGAGUGUCGGAGAGGCAAGCGGAAUUCCUAGUGUAGCGGUGAAAUGCGUAGAUAUUAGGAGGAACACCAGUGGCGAAGGCGGCUUGCUGGACGAUAACUGACGCUGAGGCGCGAAAGCGUGGGGAGCAAACAGG